rnacentral:rRNA from 1 species
AGCAGCCGCGGUAAUUCCAGCUCCAAUAGCGUAUAUUAAAGUUGUUGCAGUUAAAAAGCUCGUAGUUGAAUUUCGGGGUUAGUAGGUUGGUCAUGCCUCUGGUAUGUACUGGUCUCACUGAUUCCUCCUUCUUUAUGAACCGUAAUGCCAUUAAUUUGGUGUUGCGGGGAAUUUGGACUGUUACUUUGAAAAAAUUAGAGUGUUUAAAGCAAGCUAACGCUUGAACACAUUAGCAUGGAAUAAUGAAAUAGGACGUUCGAUCUUAUUUUGUUGGUUUCUAGGAUUGACGUAAUGAUUAAUAGGGAUAGUUGGGGGCAUUAGUAUUCAAUUGUCAGAGGUGAAAUUCUUGGAUUUAUUGAAGACUAACUACUGCGAAAGCAUUUGCCAAGGAUGUUUUCAUUAAUCAAGAACGAAAGUUAGGGGAUCGAAGACGAUCAGAUACCGUCGUAGUCUUAACCAUAAACUAUGCCGACUAGGGAUCGGAUGAUGUUAAUUUUUAAUGACUCAUUCGGCGCCUUAC